UACGAAGGGUGCAAGCGUUGUUCGGAAUCAUUGGGCGUAAAGCGCGCGCAGGCGGAUUCGUAAGUCAGAUGUGAAAUCUCGGGGCUCAACCCUGAAACUGCACUUGAUACUGCUCUGCUUGAGGACUGGAGAGGAGACUGGAAUUCACGGUGUAGCAGUGAAAUGCGUAGAUAUCGUGAGGAAGACCAGUGGCGAAGGCGGGUCUCUGGACAGUUCCUGACGCUGAGGCGCGAAGGCCAGGGGAGCAAACGGG
rnacentral:rRNA from 1 species